CAAAGACAUGAAGAAAAAGGUCAAGGACCUGAAGACAAAGGCCAAGAAGGACGAGAAGUCCGGGAAGAAGGACAAGGCCGAUAACAGUAUGAAGGCAAUGAGGGAGUUGAUAAAGAAAAUUAGAGCAAUAACUGAAAAGAUACUGGGCGCGGAGAAAAAGAUUGAAGUCAUCAAGGGAAAGAAAUCCGAGGGUGGCAAGACGGGUGGCAAGCCCGCCGCGAAACCAAAGAAAGGCGGGAAGGAGGACAGUAAGGGAAAAGGCGGGAAGAAAGACAGCAAGGGAAAAAAGAAAAACUAAAAAGAUGAGUGGUGUAAAAGGCUGAAAGUUGAACUGACGCAAGGAAAUUUCAAAACGUCCGAUUCUCUGUAAAAGUAGUUGUUUGGAAAUAAAAAUUGUUUGCAUUAA